CAGCAGGACUGUAGCAAUACAGUUGCUGGCGACCGGCAAACGGGUGCGGAACACGUACACAACCUUCCUUUAAGUGGAGAAUAGCCCGGGGAAACCCGGAUUAAUACUCCGUAACAUAAUGAAGUGGCAUCACUUUAUUAUUAUAGCUCCGGCGCUUGAAGAUGGGUGUGCGACUGAUUAGGCAGUUGGCGGGGUAACGGCCCACCAAACCUACGAUCAGUAACUGGUGUGAGAGCACGACCAGUCACACGGGCACUGAGACACGGGCCCGACUCCUACGGGAGGCAGCAGUAAGGAAUAUUGGUCAAUGGACGCAAGUCUGAACCAGCCAUGCCGCGUGGAGGAUGAAGGUCCUCUGGAUUGUAAACUUCUUUUAUCUGGGAAGAAACCCAUGAAUUCUUUUGUGGUUGACGGUACCAGAUGAAUAAGCACCGGCUAACUCCGUGCCAGCAGCCGCGGUAAUACGGAGGGUGCAAGCGUUAUCCUGAUUCACUGGGUUUAAAGGGUGCGUAGGUGGGUUGGUAAGUCAGUGGUGAAAUCUCCAGGCUUAACUUGGAAACUGCCAUUGAUACUAUCAAUCUUGAAUACCGUGGAGGUCAGCGGAAUAUGUCAUGUAGCGGUGAAAUGCUUAGAUAUGACAUAGAACACCAAUUGCGAAGGCAGCUGGCUACACGAAUAUUGACACUGAUGCACGAAAGCGUGGGGAUCAAACAGGAUUAGAUACCCUGGUAGUCCACGCCCUAAACGAUGGAUACUCGACAUACGCGAUAUACUGUGUGUGUCUGAGCGAAAGCAUUAAGUAUCCCACCUGGGAAGUACGAUCGCAAGAUUGAAACUC
rnacentral:rRNA from 1 species